rnacentral:rRNA from 1 species
UACGUAGGGCGCAAGCGUUGAUCCGGAAUUAUUGGGCGUAAAGGGCUCGUAGGCGGUUUGUCGCGUCGGGAGUGAAAUCCACUGGCUUAACUGGUGGCUUGCUUUCGAUACGGGCAGACUGGAGGUAUGCAGGGGAGAACGGAAUUCCGUGGUGGUAGCGGUGAAAUGCGCAGAUAAUCAGGAGGAACACCGGUGGCGAAGGCGGUUCUCUGGGCAUGUCCUGACGCUGAGGAGCGAAAGUGUGGGGAGCGAACAGG